GCUCUUAUGGUGUAAUGGUUAGCACUCUGGACUUUGAAUCCAGCGAUCCCCCGGUAGGAGCU
rnacentral:tRNA from 1 species